rnacentral:rRNA from 1 species
UGGGGAAUCUUGGACAAUGGGGGCAACCCUGAUCCAGCCAUGCCGCGUGAGUGAUGAAGGCCUUAGGGUCGUAAAGCUCUUUCGCCUGUGAAGAUAAUGACGGUAGCAGGUAAAGAAACCCCGGCUAACUCCGUGCCAGCAGCCGCGGUAAUACGGAGGGGGUUAGCGUUGUUCGGAAUUACUGGGCGUAAAGCGCACGUAGGCGGACCAGAAAGUUGGGGGUGAAAUCCCGGGGGCUCAACCCCGGAACUGCCUCCAAAACUAUUGGUCUAGAGUUCGAGAGAGGUGAGUGGAAUUCCAAGUGUAGAGGUGAAAUUCGUAGAUAUUAGGUGGAACACCAGUGGCGAAGGCGGCUCACUGGCUCGAUACUGACGCUGAGGUGCGAAAGUGUGGGGAGCAAA